rnacentral:rRNA from 1 species
CAGGUCACUCCUACGGGAGGCAGCAGUGGGGAAUCUUGCACAAUGGGGGAAACCCUGAUGCAGCGACGCCGCGUGAGCGAUGAAGCCCUUCGGGGUGUAAAGCUCUUUCGGCAGGGAAGAUGAUGACGGUACCUGCAGAAGCAGCUGCGGCUAACUACGUGCCAGCAGCCGCGGUAAUACGUAGGCAGCAAGCGUUGUUCGGAGUUACUGGGCGUAAAGGGUGUGUAGGCGGUCGUUUAAGUUUGGUGUGAAAUCUCCCGGCUCAACUGGGAGGGUGCGCCGAAUACUGAAUGACUAGAGUGCGGGAGAGGUGAGUGGAAUUCCUGGUGUAGCGGUGAAAUGCGUAGAUAUCAGGAGGAACACCGGUGGUGUAGACGGCUCACUGGACCGUAACUGACGCUGAGACACGAAAGCGUGGGUAGCAAACAGGAUUAGAUACCCUGGUAGUCCACGCCCUAAACGAUGCAUAUUUGGUGUGGGCAGUUCAUUCUGUCCGUGCCGGAGCUAACGCGUUAAAUAUGCCGCCUGGGGAGUACAGUCGCAAGGCUGAAACUCAAAGGAAUUGACG